UAAACGAUGGAUACUAGCUGUUCCGGCCUUGAGUCCUGGGCGGCCAAGCGAAAGUGAUAAGUAUCCCACCUGGGGAGUACGUUCGCAAGAAUGAAACUCAAAGGAAUUGACGGGGGCCCGCACAAGCGGUGGAGCAUGUGGUUUAAUUCGAUGAUACGCGAGGAACCUUACCAGGGCUUAAAUGCAUAUUGACAGGGGUAGAGAUACCUUUUCCUUCGGGCAAUUUGCAAGGUGCUGCAUGGUUGUCGUCAGCUCGUGCCGUGAGGUGUCAGGUUAAGUCCUAUAACGAGCGCAACCCCUACCGUUAGUUGCCAGCAUUUAAAGAUGGGGACUCUAACGGGACUGCCGGUGCAAACCGUGAGGAAGGUGGGGACGACGUCAAAUCAUCACGGCCCUUACGUCCUGGGCCACACACGUGCUACAAUGGCCGGUACAGAGAGCAGCCACGAUGCAAGUCGGGAGCGAAUCUACAAAACCGGUCACAGUUCGGAUCGGGGUCUGCAACUCGACCCCGUGAAGCUGGAAUCGCUAGUAAUCGGAUAUCAGCCAUGAUCCGGUGAAUACGUUCCCGGGCCUUGUACACACCGCCCGUCAAGCCAUGGAAGCCGGGAGUGCCUGAAGUCCGUCACCGUAAGGAGCGGCCUAGGGCAAGAUCGGUAACUAGGGCUAAGUCGUAACAAGGUAACCGUA
rnacentral:rRNA from 1 species